GGCCUAACACAUGCAAGUCGAACGCACUCUUCGGAGUGAGCGGCGGACGGGUUAGUAACGCGUGGGAACAUACCCUUCUCUACGGAAUAGCCUUUGGAAACUGAGAGUAAUACCAUAUACGCCCUUCGGGGGAAAGAUUUAUCGGAGAUGGAUUGGCCCGUGUUAGAUUAGAUAGUUGGUGGGGUAAUGGCCUACCAAGUCUACUAUCUAUAGCUGGUUUGAGAGGAUGAUCAGCCACACUGGGACUGAGACACGGCCCAGACUCCUACGGGAGGCAACA
rnacentral:rRNA from 1 species